GUCUUAUGACAAAUGCAAUGUCAGAUGCUUCGCAUUUGAACUUUGGCUAAGGACACCUAACAAACCUAAAUGUAUUAUCACCCUGAAAACAUCCCAUGAUACAUCACUGCCAACAACAUCCUGAUACAAGUGCUGGG